GGCCGAUUAGCUCAGUCAGUUGAGCGUGGCGAUAACAACACCAAGGUUGCGGGUUCGAUUCCUGUUCGGUCC
rnacentral:tRNA from 1 species